UUGACCUCGGAUCAGGUAGGGAUACCCGCUGAACUUAAGCAUAUCAAUAAGCGGAGGAAAAGAAACCAACAGGGAUUGCUCUAGUAACGGCGAGUGAAGCAGCAAUAGCUCAAAUUUGAAAUCUGGCGUCUUCGACGUCCGAGUUGUAAUUUGUAGAGGAUGCUUCUGAGUAACCACCGACCUAAGUUCCUUGGAACAGGACGUCAUAGAGGGUGAGAAUCCCGUAUGCGGUCGGAAAGGUGCUCUAUACGUAGCUCCUUCGACGAGUCGAGUUGUUUGGGAAUGCAGCUCUAAAUGGGAGGUAAAUUUCUUCUAAAGCUAAAUAUUGGCCAGAGACCGAUAGCGCACAAGUAGAGUGAUCGAAAGAUGAAAAGCACUUUGGAAAGAGAGUUAAAAAGCACGUGA
rnacentral:rRNA from 1 species